rnacentral:lncRNA from 1 species
GAGUUUUGAACACCAGUGACCAACUAUAUAUAACAGUUCAAACUAGUGACCAUUCGGAAACAACUGCGGUGGAGGUGCUUCGAGAGAACCAGUGAAGCCCAAAAGAGAAACAUGCAUCUGAAGCUUAUUCUUGUCGGCCUGACCAUCUUUGGCCUCAUUGUUGCUGAAAGCGGUGCCAUUCCGGCCAGCGCGAGUGCCCAAGAGGCCGAGGCAAGGGCUGAACCCGAGUCAGCGGAGUGUGCAGAGCAAGGCAACGCUGAGGAGGCACGCAUCAGUGAAGCAUGCAUGGCAUCCCUGUGUGGCUAGGAGCCUGGUGCAACAGAAUCACACAUUUUACCAGAGACGUCGCGCACCACCAAAGAAAUUAUACUUAAAAGGCUGCGUACACAUUCGAACGGCCUAUGAAAUUGCAGCACCGAAUGUUAGGGUCAGUUAAUACCUGUAAAAUGCAUUCCGGCAUCAAAUAAAGGUUUGUCUAAACGGCAUUUCUGUUGAACCUGAAA